CUGAAAGUAGUUGGUUGUUGUUAGCUAGCUACUGUUUUUGACAAUCCCGAAUGUAAUCAUCUUCCAUCAAUCGUCAUCCUGUCUUUCAUAGCUCAUAUGCUGGCACGACGUGAGGCCCUUCGACAUAAGAAGACUGGAUGCCAUUGUUGGGUUUCCUGUGAGAGUGCUUCCUGGCCCAAGACCGAUUCACGUCCAGGUCUCAGGCAUCAACACAUAUUGGAAGAGAGUUUCUCUUGCGAUGAUCGUGAACUUCAGGAAACAA